rnacentral:rRNA from 1 species
UACGAAGGGGGCUAGCGUUGUUCGGAAUUACUGGGCGUAAAGGGCUCGUAGGCGGCCAACUAAGUCAGACGUGAAAUCCCUCGGCUUAACCGGGGAACUGCGUCUGAUACUGGAUGGCUUGAGUUUGGGAGAGGGAUGCGGAAUUCCAGGUGUAGCGGUGAAAUGCGUAGAUAUCUGGAGGAACACCUAUGGCGAAGGCAGCUCGCUGGGACGUUACUGACGCUGAGACGCGAAAGCGUGGGGAGCAAACAGG